AAAGCUUUAUAGGAGGCACCUGUGAGAAGAUUUGCUCUUGUGUGUAGGCAUGUGCAAGAAGACCGAUGGCCAGCUCAACCCGAAUGGGCUCACCUGACAAAAUUCAGUUUCAUUGGUUCAAAAUUAAAUUGCAGGUUUUAAUAUCGGCUCCAAAUAUUUUUCAGUCGAAACCUUGAAACUGAUGAACCCAUUGAGCCAGCCUUUUCCUCUAGCUUUUGCCUCGAGUCUCUUUUCCCCACUACUGUGGAAACCCUAGCCAUAGAAUCAUAUUCAGUCGAAACCAAUCACUAAAAGGCAAAAGCUCUCUUCUCCUCAAAUCGAGUAUCCUUUCUCUCCAUUCCAGACUAUCUCUGUUCACCAUCAACCUUCAGUUGUCGCUCCCUCUGUUGCUUCUCCACCUUGCAUGGCACCAGAUCUGCACACUCUCAAAGUCUCACGGCGAUUAACUUCUUCAUCUGCCUAGAUUUGCUUUGUGAUCUAAAGCUUAUAGCCGCUUGCUUCCAGAUCUGCACACUGAGCUCACGACAAUACUUCUUCAGAUCUGAGUUGUUGGGUAUAACUUUUUGCCACAUAGAUCUAGCUUUCGAUUUGGAUUAGUUGAUACCAUGCACACAUAUGGGUAUUUGGUUGUAAGGGGAUUUAUAAAGGGGUUUGUCUGUCGUGUUGCCUCAUUCGGAAAUUUUCUUGUCACCACAAUGGAAGGCUUCGGUAGAUUUUUCAACAUCACUGACUUCGCACAGAGUUCUUCUUGGUAAUCUGUUUUCCGAGGAAAUGGUUUCUAGGAUUUUACCUGUGCGUAAAGCAAAUCAAAGUCCUCAAGCAUUUUCACCAUUCUACUCAAGCACUGGUUGAGAUCGAAGAAUCUGAGAUUGAGAUUGAGAUUAUGAGGCGACAAAAGGGGUGGUGAUAGAGAUGAGCGGCUCAAGAGAUCGGUUUGGCGCCUUAAAUGAGCAUGGCCAGGUCGGAUCAAACACAAACCCAGUUAUAUUAGGUCGGAUUGCAGCCCUACUUGUGUGCCCCCUGCGUAUAUGAUACAAAGACAACUCUCUCACUCUUCAUUUUUCUCAAUGUCUUCUCUCUAGAAAAUACCUCCCAGCCAUCUCCAGUACCGGACCCUCCCCUCUAGUAGUCGCUCUCUUUCUCCACCGCCUAGCUACUAUUUAAGUAUUUUUCAUUUUUUCUUUUUUCAUUAGAUGGAAGAAUCCUCAAUCUAUUACCUUCCAGUCAUGAGUAGAUCACCACCACCCACGUUAUACGACUGUGCUCGAUGGUGACACUAGAUAUCUAAAAUCUUGGUGAAGUACCGUACGUUGAAUGAUGGGCGCUUGUGCGCAUUCCAGCCACACACAUAGAUACGUCAUUUAUUUAGAGCAGUAUUAUACGUAUAAAAAGGUUAUACAAAAAUAAAUUUACAUAUAAAUAUAAUUUUAUAUAAUUUAUAAGAAAUAUUUUAUAUAUAAUAAAAAAAUUUAAAAUUUGAUAUACAUCGAGAUAUAUUAAUUUAUAAAUUUAUUUUUAUAUAAUUUUUUUAUAAUUAAAGAAUUUUCCUUUUAUUUAUCUUUAAUAACAGUAAUUUGUCAAGACAUUGGCAUGCAGUAGCAUCAGCAAAUUAAAGUCAUAAAGGUUAAAAUUUGCCUAUUUUAAUUAGUUCAAAAUGUAUCUGCCGUGGCAUACGCAAUAUCUUGGCUUUUAGUAACAGUAGAUCAACAUAUAAACAAUGAUACAUUAACAUAUGCAUUCUUUUUUUAAUAUUGUUUUUUAUGCACGCUGAACAAUGUGAUUUAUUAUUAGACAAUAUCAUAUUUUGUAUGUAUUAUUUUUUCUCUACCACACACAACAUAUAUGAAAGGCAAUGUUUUCUCUCUCUAUAGGUAGAAUGCUAAAUUAAUUUAAACGUGGCCAGAUUAUAUUAUCACGUUUUCUAGCUAGUCUGCUGAGUAUAGGUUUAUUUUGAUUUAUAGUCUAUUGUAUUUUAAUAUAUUUAAAAAAAUGGGUGCGGCUAUCAUGCCGUCCAGUUUUGAACAUUGGGUGUGCCCUUAGUACAAAUUGUAUUUUUUUUUCUUUUUCUUUCAAACAUUUUUUAAAUACUUUUAAAUAUUAAAAAAAUAUAAAUAUAUUAAUAAUCACUUUCUUAACUAUUAAACAAGAAAUAAAAUUAAAAAUAAAAUUAAAUACAUGAGAGAUCAAACUGAGGGUGGAACUCAUGUAGUAUAAUAUCAUUUUCCUUAAAAAAUAUAAAUAGAAAGAUUUUACAAAUAUUUGGGUUUUAAAGAUUUGGGUUGCUAAAUCAAGAUUUUAUUAAAGUUUAUACUUUUUUAAAUUUGAGAUUUAUAUAUAUAGUCAUUUUGUUCGAGAUGAAUACAACUAUUUUAUAGUUGUGUAGAUUUGGGUUGAACUAAACUUUUUUUGCAGUCAAUUGAAUUUGAUUCGAACCAAUUUAUUUUCUUACAACACCAGUAAAAAAGUAGAUAAAAAACAUACAAAUAAAAUAUUAAAAAAAAAGAGAAAUUCUAAAUAUAGUCCCCAGCUAGAGGUCUGCACAUGCACCCCUUACAUGGCCAAAACAACUCGUUUUAUUAAUGCCCAAAAACGGUUUCAUAACUUCGUUUCAAAGUGAAACACGGCUAGCAUGAAGCAUUGGGUGCGAUGGAGAAAUAAGCUGAGGCAGAGAAGGUGCACGACGAACCCUAGCAAAGCUACCGACCACAGUGUGAGCUGCCGGAGUUGCCGACCACGACAUUGGCGUCCCCUUCGAGCUGUCAUCGACUCCAUUUUAGAGGAUCUGAUAGAAGGGAAGACGAAACAAAAGAAAUGGAAUGAUGCACGGAAAGAAGAAGCCUAAAGCUGAAAAGAAAGAUCAAAAGAAUGUUUUUGAAGAGCCUCCAGCCACAUAUUAUAUGACCCAAUAAUAAACUGGACGGUGGCUGGACCGUUGAGUGGGUAACGAGCUGCGAAGGAGUUGGUAAUUAUCGGCUGGGUGUGUGCGGUUGGAGAGGUGCAUCAAGCCCUGGCCAAAAUCUGAGGGGUGAGGACAGAGGUGCGGGUUUCGUAUUUGGUUUUUGAAUUUCAAUGGUAGCACUUAACAGGUAACUCUGCGAGGGUUUCAGAGUUAUUUUUUUUUGCAUAUUUUAUUAAUGUGAUUAGUUAUAUACGUAUGUGCAUAUAUAUAUAUAUAUACUUGUUUUCAUUGAAAACAGUCAUUUUGA